rnacentral:lncRNA from 1 species
UCGGAAUAGAAGACAGAGUCUGACUCUCGUAGAAGUCCGGACGUAGUCUACUUGCAAUUGGGGUCGUAGGUAGAGUCCGGCUCCCGUAGGAGCCCGGGCGGAGUCUUCCUGCAAUUGAAAUCAAAGGCGAAGUCCGGCUCCUGUAGGAGUCCGGACAAGGCUUACCAGCAGUUGAAGUUGGUGACGGAGCCCGGCUCCUGUAGG